UACGAAGGGGGGCGAGCGUUUGUUCGGAUUUACUGGGCGUAAAGGGCGCGCAGGCGGCUCAUUUUGUCAGGCGUGAAAGCCCCGGGCUCAACCUGGGAACCGCGCUUGAGACUGGCACGCUCGAGUUCGGGAGAGGAUGGUGGAAUUCCCAGUGUAGAGGUGAAAUUCGUAGAUAUUGGGAAGAACACCGAUGGCGAAGGCAGCCAUCUGGACCGACACUGACGCUGAGGCGCGAAAGCGUGGGGAGCAAACAGG
rnacentral:rRNA from 1 species